UGUUGAGUGGAAAAGCAGGUUGCAAAACAGCAUGCAUAGUAUGAUCCCAUUUAGGUAAAAUUAUAUAUAUAUCACUCAAGAUGUAUCUCUUAGCGCUUUGUUCAGCCAGCCUGUAAAGAGACCCUACUACGUGUUAGGCUCCAGCUAGGAGGAAAAAGAGAAACAGAUGCUUAGAAGGCAUCAGAGGCAGAAGCAAGGCCACAGUGGCAAACAUGGGGAGAGAGGCACAUGUGUCUGCCUGAUUGCAACAGGAACCGGGCCAGAGGCAGAAAGGCAGGGAGAAGAUGGACCAGUGAGGAGGAAAGAUGAG
rnacentral:lncRNA from 1 species